CCUCUUAUAUUUUCCUCAUACACCCACGUGAACGAUGAGACAAACCUUCCAUUCUCUAAAACCCUACCGCCGCCGUCACCCAUCCUUUCACCACUUUCCGACCACCACAACUCUUAACUGCAAGCGAGCAACGUUUUUGUACUCCUCAUCACCUCUUCUCCUUUCCUUUUCUGCUCUGUGACUCCAUUUUCUUUUCAAUCAGUGUUGAAAUGGAGCUGUUUGAAACGGAACCACCGUGCCGGUUUCCCUCAGGCCAUCGUGAGCUUCAUCUCCUCCAAGGAUUCGAAUAGUGCAUGAUGAAAUCUCCCCAGGUGUUGGAUUUGGUAAUGAAUCACUUAACUAGACCAAUUCCUACAGAGAUUGGAAAUCGCUCGAGCAUCGUUCACGUUUGGAGUUGACUUUGUGGAAUAAAUGUGAAAUGUGCCUUGAACUGAAUCAUUGCAGGAAGGAGUAUCGAAGUACUCAACUGAAAAACAGAAUAUCCAUCGUGUGUGUAAUAAAACUCGUAGUUUGACUAUGCAGUAAGAACAUGGUACAUUAAUUAAAAAAUGAAAACUCUUUAUGCUGCACUAAGUCUCACAUUAUAUAUAUACCACAUCAUGCCAAAAACCUUGAAACCAUGAAUAUAACUAAAAAAAGAGUUGGCUUAUGUUUCAUUUUUCCCAACUUGGUUUUUGCAUUUGCUUGUGGGAGUGUUAGCAAGGAGUGGAACUGUAGUUUUAUUCACGACAGUUAAUUCAGAUAAUAAUUGUGUGCAUUAUUAGUAUUGUUAUUACAAAGCUACGGAAUAUGGUUCUCACAUACUAAGAGGUUAAUUUUGGUAAUAGGAUUUGACAUCAGAAUCUGGAACUUGUGAUCCCCUAUGUUCAGUUGAUGAAACUAGUUCGCUAGAUUUCGAAGACAACUAUCAGCCCAAGACUGAUUUGCUCAAAGCAGUUGCGAUAUUUGCGGCGGCUGCAACUGGGACGGUGAUGUUUCUGUUUCAAUUAUAUAGUCAUUUCGUCCAAGCAAAUAUUCCUCAAUUAUUGCCUUUUAUAUGUUUCUGCUUCUCUCGCCUUGGGCUUACCCAGCAGUGUUUCUAAUAUUAGAAACUUUAAGCCUCCUUCCAGUGGCCACAAGGAAGUGGAGUUAUAUCCUACUUUAUCAUGGCUAUUUUGUUGUGAAUAAUUGAAAAGGGACAGAUUUUAUCUGUUGAUCAUUAAAUAAUUUAUUUCCUUAAUCCUGUACCAAAUAUUAUCUAUCACAUGUUUACAUGUUUUAUUUUUUGUUAUUGCAGACAGUUACUUUUUUAACGUAUCUGUUGAAAAGCUAUGCUGAUUAUAUAAGGCCACAUGAAGAAAGUAUAUGUAAAAGCAUUGUGAAUUUGCUUGUAACAUGUACUGACUCUGUCCUUAUCACAAGUAUGUCUUCUCUUCAUCUCAUUUUAGAUUUAUCUGCCGCUUUUAGUGAUUUCUUGCAGAAGUACUAGGUGUUGGAUUUUAUUUCAAUAUUCACUGCUUUUUAGUAAUUUAUAUUUUUAGAGAGAAUAAGAAUCCAAUUUUUUGAGCCUACAUGGAUUUCGAAGUUGAGGAAUUCUAUGUUUCUGUCCAUUUUUAAUGCUUGUGAGAUGGAUAUGAUGCUUGUUACCCAUAUUGGCAUUAUUUUGAGCAUGCAUAUUCAAUUUGUUUUAUGCUUCAAAGUUUCCAUGGAUCUUUGAUUGAUCCAUCAUUGUUUAUUUCAUUCUCCUCAACCACAAGUGCAGCUUUGUUUAAACACCUCUAAGCUAUAACAAACAAAAAAAAGUUUUUUAUGUUGAUAGAUUUACUUGUAUUCAGUUUGGUGCAAUCAAUAAAAAUCAAUGUUUAAAUCCAUCAUUAAUUAGUUUGACUUUUGAUACUAUGCCUCAUAUAUGAAUGAUGUAAUUGUAGUUGCUUGGAAGAGCCUUAUGUUUAUGCUAUGAUUUAUUAUAUAGUGGAAACCCAUAAUUUAUGCUGUAAAAAAAAUCUGCAUCCAGUUAAGCUUUUUUAACGCAGGCAAUAUAUAAUAAGAGGCUUAUGUUUCUUAGAUUUUGUAAUUUUGGGACUAUAUUAAGUCUUUAGCUUGAUUUAAUCUAGACUUCCUUAUGUUUCUUACAAAUGAUUUCAUCUGGACAGUUAGUCAAGGACUACAUUGACUCUGCAGUGAGACAUGUGCUCCUUAGACAUGUUUUCUUAUGAUCUAUAUACCUGAUUAUUUUUCUUGCCCUGGUAGCAUUUGAAGUUAAAGAUAUAGAGAAAAAGAUAAAUAGCAAGGAGAAUAAGUUGGUAAUGUUGUAGCGGAUUUGGUAACAUUUGUAUGUCAUUUAUUAUUUCACUGGGAAUAAAUGCAUAAUA